AACGAACGUUGGCGGCGUGGAUUAGGCAUGCAAGUCGAACGAAUCCCGGUCUCUCACCCUGUCCUUGCUCGGCGAGCCGAGCGGCGUAAGCCGCCGGGUUCCGAUGCGAGGAUGCGGUGAGGGGCCGGGGGAAGUGGCGAAAGGGGCAGUAAGGCGUGGGUAACCUACCCUGGGGAUCGGGGUAGCCAUCCUAACGGAUGGGUAAUACCGGGCGAUUUGGCGAGGAGGCAUCUUCUUGCCAGGAGAUGAAUUUCGCCUCGGGAGGGGCUCACGUGAUAUUAGCUAGUUGGUGGGGUAAUGGCUCACCAAGGCGAAGAUGUCUAGCGGGUGUGAGAGCACGACCCGCGUCACUGGCACUGAGACACUGGCCAGACACCUACGGGUGCUGCAGUCGAGGAUCUUCGGGCAAUGGGCGCAAGCCUGACCGAGCGACGCCGCGUGUGCGAUGAAGGCCUU
rnacentral:rRNA from 1 species